rnacentral:rRNA from 1 species
AUUGAACGCUGGCGGCAGGCUUAACACAUGCAAGUCGAGCGGGGCGGCGGACGCGUGAGUAAGGCCAAGGACUCUGACAGGUAGUGGGGGAUAACGUCAGGAACCGGGCGCUAAAACUGCAUACUAUUAGAUGAGGCUAGGUCGGAUUAGCUAGUGGGUGGGGUAAAGGCCAACCAAGGCGACGAACCCGAGCUGGUCUGAGAGGAUGAUCAGUCACACUGGAACUGAGACACGGCCCAGACUCCUACGGGAGGCAGCAGUGGGGAAUAUUGCACAAUGGGCGAAAGCCUGAUGCAGCCAUGCCGCGUGUGUGAAGAAGGUCUUCGGAUUGUAAAGCACUUUAAGUUGGGAGGCGUUACUAACAGAAGAAGCACCGGCUAACUACGUGCCAGCAGCCGCGGUAAUAC